CCUACGGGGGGCUGCAGUGAGGAAUAUUGGGCAAUGGGCGAAAGCCUGACCCAGCAACGCCGCGUGGAGGAUGAAGGCUUUAGGGUUGUAAACUCCUUUUGUGGGGGAAAAGAAUGGAUGGUACCCCAAGAAUAAGUCACGGCUAACUACGUGCCAGCAGCCGCGGUAAUACGUAGGUGACAAGCGUUAUCCGGAAUUACUGGGCGUAAAGCGCACGCAGGCGGUCAGAUAAGUCUGAUGUGAAACCUUCUGGCUUAACCAGAAGACGUCGUUGGAUACUGUUUGACUUGAGGCGAUGAGAGGAAUGCGGAAUCCCCGGUGUAAUGGUGGAAUAUGUAGAUAUCGGGGGGAACAUCUGAGGCGAAAGCGGCAUUCUGGCAUUAGCCUGACGCUCAUGUGCGAAAGCGUGGGGAGCAAACGGGAUUAGAUACCCCUGUAGUC
rnacentral:rRNA from 1 species